rnacentral:rRNA from 1 species
GUCGAGAAUCAUUCACAAUGGGGGAAACCCUGAUGGUGCGACGCCGCGUGGGGGAAUGAAGGUCUUCGGAUUGUAAACCCCUGUCAUGUGGGAGCAAAUUAAAAAGAUAGUACCACAAGAGGAAGAGACGGCUAACUCUGUGCCAGCAGCCGCGGUAAUACAGAGGUCUCAAGCGUUGUUCGGAAUCACUGGGCGUAAAGCGUGCGUAGGCUGUUUCGUAAGUCGUGUGUGAAAGGCGCGGGCUCAACCCGCGGACGGCACAUGAUACUGCGAGACUAGAGUAAUGGAGGGGGAACCGGAAUUCUCGGUGUAGCAGUGAAAUGCGUAGAUAUCGAGAGGAACACUCGUGGCGAAGGCGGGUUCCUGGACAUUAACUGACGCUGAGGCACGAAGGCCAGGGGAGCGAAAGGGAUUAGAUACCCCGGUAGUCC